CCUUUUUGGAAGGCAAGAUGGCAAUAGGUAUUAAGAGCCUCAAAAGUGUUCUUACCCCUUGGAAAAGCAAAGCCACUUCCAAGAAUUAAUCCUCAGGAAAUAAUCAGAGAUUCUGAUGAGGAUCUUUAUCUCUUCUGCAUUGAAAUGCUGUCUCCCUCUUCACAGGGACAGACGCGCAGCAGAUCCUAAACAAAUGUUAUCAACUAUCUGGAUGGCAACUGACUUCCAUAAAACGUCUGCUUCCAGCCAGAAGCCCAGUGGGAAGAGAGGCCUCCUACCGCCCGGGCCUGUUUGGUCAGGAUGCUGCUUCUGUGUGAAGCGUUCAACGACUCUGUCCACUCACUGUGAAUGGCUACAGCGAUUUCAACUACACAAAAUCUCCCUGAACAAGCCAACUCCAAGACAAAGCAGCCAUCAGGUUGGCCUCCAGAUGGAGAGCUUUUACUUAUCUUGGCAUCUGGUACUAGAAUUUCUCUUUGGGAAGAACUACCUUUAUUGGAAGAAGUUCUUUUUUCUUUUUAAAUUACUUUGUUGAGAUCAUAAUGGCUUAUAACAUUGUGUAAUUUCAGGUGUACGUUAUUAUUUAUCAGUUUCUGUAUAGACUGCAUCAUGCUCACCCCCAAUAGUCUAAUUUUUAGCAUUACCAUAUAUAUGUGCCCCUUUACCCCUUUUGCAAACUUCCCCAACCCCCUUCCCCUCUGGUAACCACUAAUCUGUUCUCUUUAUCCAUGUGUUUAUCUUCCACUUAUGAGUGGGAUCAUACAGUGUUUGACUUUCUCUGUCUGGCUUAUUUCACUUAAUAUAAUGCCCUCCAAGUCCAUCCAUGUUGUUGCAAAUGAAACGGUUUUGUCUUUUUUAAUGGCUGAGUAGUUCCAUUGUACAUAUAUACCACAUCUUCUUUAUCCAUUCAUCAGUCGAGGGACACUUGGAUUGCUUCCACAUUUUGGCCACUGUGAAUAAUGCUGCAAUGAACAUGGGGGUGCAUAAAUCUCUUUGAAUUGUUGACUUCAAGUUCUUUAGAUAAAUACUGAGUAGCAGAUAGCUGGGUCGUAUGGUAUUUCUAUUUUUAAUGUUUUGAGAAAUCUCCAUACUGUUUUCCAAGUAGCUGCACCAGUUUGCAUUUCCACCAGCAGUGUAUGAGGGUUCCCUUUUCUCCACAUCCUCUCCAACAUUUGUCAUUUUUUGUUUAGGUAAUCAUACCCAUUCUAACAGGGCUAAGGUGGUAGCUCAUUGUAGUUCUGAUUUGUAUUUCCCUAAUAAUUAGUGAUGUUGAACAUCUUUUCAUGUGCCUGUUGGCCACCUGUAUAUCUUCUUUGGAAAAAUGUCUGUUCAUAUCUUCUGCCCAUUUUUUGAUUGGGUUGAUUUUUUGUUGUUGAGUUGUAUGAGUUCUUUACAUAGUUUGGAAAUUAACCCCUUGUUGGACAUACGAUUUGCAAAUAUUUUCUCCUAGUUGGUGUGUUGUCUUGUCAUUUUAUUCAUGGUUUCCUCAGCCUUCUAAGAGCUCUUUUGUCUGAUAUAGUCCCAUUUGUUUAUUU
rnacentral:lncRNA from 1 species